CCUACGGGUGGCAGCAGUGAGGAAUAUUGGUCAAUGGGCGCGAGCCUGAACCAGCCAAGUCGCGUGAGGGAAGACGGUCCUAUGGAUUGUAAACCUCUUUUGUCGGGGAGCAAAAGACGCCACGCGUGGCGUUCCGAGAGUACCCGAAGAAAAAGCAUCGGCUAACUCCGUGCCAGCAGCCGCGGUAAUACGGAGGAUGCGAGCGUUAUCCGGAUUUAUUGGGUUUAAAGGGUGCGCAGGCGGAAGAUCAAGCCAGCGGUAAAAUUGAGAGGCUCAACCUCUUCGAGCCGUUGAAACUGGGUGUCUUGAGUGAGGGAGAAGUAUGCGGAAUGCGUGGUGUAGCGGUGAAAUGCAUAGAUAUCGCGCAGAACUCCGAUUGCGAAGGCAGCAUACCGGCGCUCAACUGACGCUCAUGCACGAAAGUGUGGGUAUCGAACAGGAUUAGAUACCCCAGUAGUC
rnacentral:rRNA from 1 species